AAUCAACGCUGGCGGCGUGCCUCAGACAUGCAAGUCGAACGCUGCUGUUCGCCUUCGGGUGGACAGCGGAGUGGCGCACGGGUGAGUAACACGUAGGUAAUCUACCUUUGGGUGGGAAUAACAGCCGGAAACGGCUGCUAAUACCGCAUAAUGCAGCGGCAUCACAUGAUGACAGUUGUUAAAGCGAGGGAUCGUAAGACCUCGCGCCUGAAGAGGAGCCUGCGGCAGAUUAGGUAGUUGGUGAGGUAAUGGCUCACCAAGCCUGCGAUCUGUAACCGGCCUGAGGAGGGCGGUCGGUCACACUGACACUGACAUACGGGUCAGAC
rnacentral:rRNA from 1 species